rnacentral:rRNA from 1 species
AUUGAACGCUGGCGGCAGGCCUAACACAUGCAAGUCGGGCGGUAACAGGGAGAAGCUUGCUUCUCCGCUGACGAGCGGCGGACGGGUGAGUAAUGUAUGGGGAUCUGCCUGAUGGCGGGGGAUAACUACUGGAAACGGUAGCUAAUACCGCAUAAUGUCUUCGGACCAAAGAGGGGGACCUCCGGGCCUCGCGCAUUCAGAUGAAUCCAUAUGGGAUUAGCUUGUAGGUGAGGUAAUGGCUCACCUAGGAGACGAUCCCUAGCUGGUCUGAGAGGGUGAUCAGCCACACUGGGACUGAGACACGGCCCAGACUCCUACGGGAGGCAGCAGUGGGGAAUAUUGCACAAUGGGCGCAAGCCUGAUGCGGCCAUGCCGCGUGUAUGAGGAAGGCCUUCGGGUUGUAAAGUACUUUCAGUCGGGAGGAAGGUGGUGAGCUUAAUACGCUCAUCAAUUGCCGUUACCGACAGAAGAAGCACCGGCUAACUCCGUGCCAGCAGCCGCCGUAAGAC